CGCAAGCAUGUUGUUUCAGCUCGUUUUUUGUCAGUCACUAAUGUUUCCCUCCUUCGUAGGCCCUAGGCCCUGUGCCUAGAGUGCCCAAUGGGAAAUCCAGCUCGGCAUCCACCCAUUUUCUAACCGCUUCUUCUAACAAGAGUCGCGGAGGAGCUGGAGCUUCUCCCGGCAAGCAACGGGCGCAGGGCAGGCGGCUUCCAGAGAUUGCAUAUCAGGAUCCGUAGAGUACAAGACGAAGCACACCUGAAGGACUCGGAUUGUAAACCUGAGCCAACACUGCAGCGCACUGGGCAGUUUGUGUCGACGCUUUAAAACACACGACCUUAGUUCAGAAGUUCAGAAGUUAGAGGCUCGUCACUGCCACCGUGUGGAGAAACUCCUGGAACCACACCAUGGGGCUCCUUCAGGAAUUCUGCUGUAAGGACAGGAAAGGGACACUUGUGGAUUUUCGGGAGUCGGAGGAAAUCAGGCCUUACCCAGAGGACUGCAGGCCAACUGAGAACAGAACACUUUACCUCAAAGCUGGCCGACUCGAUCCUGAUGAUUCGGAA